AGCUUACGAUACGUUCGUGAUAUGUACUCUAAAAGAUUUUCAAGUAUAAUUAAGAUCACAGCAGAUUUAAUGUGCAAUUCGCAAGCCGCAAAAUAAAUGUGAGAACUCUUCAGAGAGAGAUCUGACGGCCGCUUCAUUGUCUUCCAAGCGAAAGUAAAACUGCAGCCAGAGAGAUCCAAGACAUCCGAUUUGGCUUCAAACUCGUAGAAUGUGAAACAAUCAAUAUCGUAAGGUCGCCCCCACAGUUUCGAUUCGGUGGGACACUGCAUCGCCUGAGACUUAUGAUGCCCUUAAAAUCAAUACGACAUCGGGAUCUGAAGAGCUUUUAGUAUAUUUGGGAAGGACUUACAGAAAAUGAAUAGCAACGAAGUGCAGCUCAUGGAGAACAUACAUUCGACUUUUGAUCACCAAAUCAAGAGUAUUGCAGGUCCUUGGUUAAACGCAACUUUUCGUAGUAUUUGAUUUAGUAUAUUUUCAAUAUAUUUCAUACGGUGUGUACAUACUCGUAUAUAUGUACAUCUAAAGGGUUUCUGUUACAAUUACUGCCCGACUAUCUUCUGGAUAUUAUUGAUGCCGUCCUUUACUGCAUUCGUAAUUUCGGGUACUAGUGGAAUUUUUUCAAUCACACCAACACUGCAUCGCCAGAGACAUAUGCUGC